AGUUCAUAUGUACAAACGAAUGCUGAAGUGAUGGAGGAUUCCUGUCUCCUAUGCAAGCAAGAUUAAAAAAGAGGGCAGGAGAGGAAAAGACUGAAAGGCUACGUGGCAGACCAAAGAGCAAGGAGCCUUAAUUAAUUCAUGGAAGUAAUAACAUUUAUGUCAGCUGCUCCUCUUUUCUGAAGGAUGGAACCUCACUGAUUGAAAGAUACUUGGGUCAGAUACACUCUCACUACUCAGCAGCUCCAUUGCUGUAGCUCUUGUAAAACCUGAAACCACGUGACCUUCAUGCACUGCUGUUUUUCAUUAUUGGUCUCAGCACAGAGUAUAGGAAUUGUCAUAUAUUAUCAACUCAGCCAUCUAUUAAGAUCCAUAUUCUCACUAAUGGUAGCUUAAGAGGGCAGUGCCAUAAUUUGAUGCGUAUACUUUUUUCUCUGCUCUAAAUCUUAAAUUAAACUCUUGAUAGACUCAGGGUUUUUGUUUUUUUUUGGUUUUUUUGUUUUGUUUUGGUUUUUUGUUUUUGUUUUUUUUCCCCAGACAACAUUGCUUAAAGUAUCUUUGAAAACUGUUGAAAAUCAUGCCAAAUCUGGACAGCCUCACUGUCACAUCACUGACCAAACCCUGAAUCUUUAUGUUCUUGAAUGAUGGCACAACUUGUCUUCCCUGAAGGUGUUCACUGUGUAAAAAAAGGUGUAGAUGUCAGCCCGUGCUAGACCUUAUGAAAUGCAAAUCCUCAGGCAUGAAACCUGUGGUUCACCUACGCACUGAAUUCAGAUUCAGAUCUCCACCCCCCUCACAAGCUGGCUGUUCAGCCCUUUCCUGAUGAUGCAUUCAAGCAGGUAACUGAGAGACAUAAAUUAUCUACUACCAGCCAGCAAGGUGCCCGUGCUGCAGAAGGUUUUUAUGUUACUCAGGAACACAUUAUAUCCAGCUUUGGAGAUUCAGUGAAAGAAACGACAGUGUUCUUAAUGGUAAGACCUCUUAAAUGUAAAGGGGCACACAGACCUUAGACCUGAAGAAAGCAAUAAAAACUGUAAUGGAAGAAAAGUUUGGAAAAUA
rnacentral:lncRNA from 1 species